rnacentral:rRNA from 1 species
GACGAACGCUGGCGGCGUGCUUAACACAUGCAAGUCGAACGGAAAGGCCCUGCUUUUGUGGGGUGCUCGAGUGGCGAACGGGUGAGUAACACGUGAGUAACCUGCCUUUGACUUUGGGAUAACUUCAGGAAACUGGGGCUAAUACCGGAUAUGAGCUCCUGCUGCAUGGUGGGGGUUGGAAAGUUUCGGCGGUUGGGGAUGGACUCGCGGCUUAUCAGCUUGUUGGUGGGGUAGUGGCUUACCAAGGCUUUGACGGGUAGCCGGCCUGAGAGGGUGACCGGCCACAUUGGGACUGAGAUACGGCCCAGACUCCUACGGGAGGCAGCAGUGGGGAAUAUUGCACAAUGGGCGGAAGCCUGAUGCAGCAACGCCGCGUGCGGGAUGACGGCCUUCGGGUUGUAAACCGCUUUCGCCUGUGACGAAGCGUGAGUGACGGUAAUGGGUAAAGAAGCACCGGCUAACUACGUG